UACGUAGGUGGCGAGCGUUGUCCGGAAUUACUGGGUGUAAAGGGCGUGUAGGCGGGGGCUCAAGUCGGAUGUGAAAUACCGUGGCUAAACCAAGGGGCUGCAUCCGAAACUGUGCCUCUUGAGUACCGGAGAGGAAAGUGGAAUUCCCAGUGUAGCGGUGAAAUGCGUAGAGAUUGGGAGGAACACCAGUGGCGAAGGCGACUUUCUGGACGGUAACUGACGAUGAGGCGCGAAAGCGUGGGGAGCAAACAGG
rnacentral:rRNA from 1 species